UACGGAGGGUGCGAGCGUUGUCCGGAAUCAUUGGGCGUAAAGGGCGCGUAGGUGGCCCGGUCAGUUCGUGGUGAAAGCGCGGGGCUCAACCCUGCGUCGGCCAUGAAUACUGCCGCGGCUGGAGCACUGUAGAGGCAGGCGGAAUUCCGGGUGUAGCGGUGGAAUGCGUAGAUAUCAGGAGGAACACCUGUGGUGUAGACGGCUUUCUGGACCAUAGCUGACGCUGAGACACGAAAGCGUGGGUAGCAAACAGG
rnacentral:rRNA from 1 species